rnacentral:rRNA from 1 species
UGACGGCCCUAUGGGUUGUAAACUUCUUUUUUACGGGACGAAACUGAGCUACGUGUAGCCUACUGACGGUACCGUAUGAAUAAGCAACGGCUAACUCCGUGC